rnacentral:rRNA from 1 species
UACAGAGGUCUCAACCGUUGUUCGGAUUCAUUGGGCGUAAAGGGUGCGUAGGCGGUCGCGCAAGUCGGAUGUGAAAUCUUAGGGCUCAACCCUGAAACUGCAUUCGAUACUGCGUGGCUAGAGUACUGGAGAGGAGACUGGAAUUUACGGUGUAGCAGUGAAAUGCGUAGAUAUCGUAAGGAAGACCAGUGGCGAAGGCGAGUCUCUGGGCAGUUACUGACGCUGAGGCACGAAGGCCAGGGGAGCAAACGGG